rfam:Thielaviopsis punctulata NODE_2054, whole genome shotgun sequence.
GCCCCAAUGGCGCAGUGGUGGCUUUUCGAGUUUGGCUAACUCGAGAGGUCGUCGGUUCGAAUCCGGCUUGGGUCG